rnacentral:rRNA from 1 species
GAUUCUGGCUCAGGAUGAACGCUAGCUACAGGCUUAACACAUGCAAGUCGAGGGGCAGCAUUGGAGUAGCAAUACUCAGAUGGCGACCGGCGCACGGGUGAGUAACACGUAUCCAACCUGCCGCUUACUCGGGGAUAGCCUUUCGAAAGAAAGAUUAAUACCCGAUGGUAUAAAGAGUUCGCAUGUUCUCUUUAUUAAAGAAUUUCGGUAAGCGAUGGGGAUGCGUUCCAUUAGAUAGUUGGCGGGGUAACGGCCCACCAAGUCUACGAUGGAUAGGGGGUUCUGAGAGGAAGGUCCCCCACAUUGGAACUGAGACACGGUCCAAACUCCUACGGGAGGCAGCAGUGAGGAAUAUUGGUCAAUGGACGAGAGUCUGAACCAGCCAAAAGUAGCGUGAAGGAUGACUGCCCUAUGGGUUGUAAACUUCUUUUAUAAGGGGAUAAAGUGAGGGACGUGUCCCUUUUUGUAUGUACCUUAUGAAUAAGGAUCGGCUAACUCCGUGCCAGCCGCCGC